AAUGCUUGAAAGACAAUAGAAAACACUACCUGACUUUCAUUCUGUAAAUUAUUUAUGAUUAAUGAAAUUGAUGACUAUACACUGAGCAAUCUUUCACAUACAAGUAGUAGAGGUUGGUGUCUUAAAGUAACUACAUUUUUGUUCUGAAAUGGAAGCAGCCGAGGAAGUUUUGUGCAGGUAUGGCAUUGGAAAUGACAUAAGUAGUAAUUCAAUAAAAAGACUUCCUGUUUUCAAGAUCAGAAUUAUCUGUAUAAACUCACAUAUGUAGUAUGUGCUUUCCUUAGAUAUUACAAAACACAAAUUUUCUCAGCAAUUACUGAGAAAAUUUGCACCCUAUUGAAUUUUAGGAAAUUUCUGUUCUUGGUUUCAGUGGGGCAACUGUUUCUUCUCUAGAGUAAAUACAUGUGCUACACAUGGGUGGGAUUCUGGACAUUGUGGAUUAACUACUCAUGUUGACAUUGUCUUCCCAAGACCUAAUUGUCUUUUUUGCUUUGUACACGCUGCACUGACAUUUUCCACUGAGACAACUUAGUCAGACAUGUAUUUUGGAAUGCCUUCAAUUCUUAUUUCAACUGAUGACAUGCAACUGAGCACAUGCUUUUGAAUCUCUUAAAAAGCAAGCAUAGCAUGAAGGCUGAAAUGAUGCACGACUGUGUGUGUUAGUAAUAGAGCAGGGAGCUUGAAAUGGCCCAGGCAUGAGCUUCUUUGUACCGGUGAUAUAGCUGACCUGUACAGUUUCAUAUUUCAGGAUUCAUGGUGUAAGCAACUGACACUAAUAAUACUGGGAUUUUACGCGAUCUUCCUGCAAACAGAGUUAAUAUUGACUCUAAAGGAAGAGGUCUUCACCUAAUUUGCAACAGAUCUCUCCUGAGAAUUUUUCUGAAGGAAGAGAGUGUAGGGAUUCAGGUUAACUAUCCAGAAGGGAACAAAAAUGACACAGUGGGAUGAAAAAGAUUUCUUCUAAUAUAAUUAUGAAGUGUCUUUCUGCUACGUGACUUUCCAGUAACUCCCUGUUGUCUUUGCUCAUCCAUUUCUCAGUGUGUAUAUCUCUGUUGGUGUCUUUCAGACUGGUGCUCUGAUUCCACAUGAUGCCUCUGACAAAAAGAUAAUAUAAAGCUUUUUCUACAGGCUAUGAAGCUCUAACCUUUGAAAGUGCCAUAAGAGAACAAAGAAAAUAAUGAAUUAAUAUAGAUGUUGAUGACUGGGCAUGAAUCAAGCUUUAUGAAAAAAUGCUGGUGGUUUUUUUUGGACUCUAUGUACAUCACCCAACAUGUCAUAGAAUCAUAGAAUAUAGUGUUCGAAGGGACCUCAAGGAUCAUCCGGUCCAUCCUUUCUCGGCAAAGCAUGGCCUAGGCUAGAUGGCCCAGCACCCUCUCCAGCUAAAUCUUCAGUGUUUAAUGUAAGUAUCAGCUGAUAUCAGGGUUAUUAUUAUUUAACAUUACUUUCUGGGCAGGUAAUCUGAUCUGUUCAGAAAAUAAGGGUUAAAUUCUCUGUACAAAAGCUUUUCCUGCAAUUUUUCAUUUUCAGUUCAGAGACUUCAAAACAGCUUUGGGUAAAACAUUUAAUACUGGGGAAGAAUAUGGUGUCAACUUUAGAGAACAGAGGGAGUGUCAUAUUUAUCUUCAAAAGCUUGGCCUGGACAUAUAAUUAAUGUAUUUUUCUUAAACUAUAAUGAAAUAAAGGCUAAGAAAGAUCUAAAUAUUGUAAUAAUUAAAAAAGCAGAGGGAAAAAAACAAAACAAA